AUAUUCAUCCUCAUGCAAAAAAUAAAAAAUAAAAAAUCACUUUCCUCACCUCUGCUAGCUAGCAACCACUAGCUUAGCUGCGUAAAAAUCUGCCGUUGCGUUUAAUACAUAACCGCGUGAUAUUUAUUUGCGCUCAACUCUACAGCUUCCGGCUGAACAAUGCGAGGGAACGAGCAAAAUAAAGGCUGCAAAUCAUGUUUCAAGUGCGGACUGCACUCUUCAGAGAGAGAGCAAAAGAGAUCAACUUGAACCUACAUCACCCCCGACUACAAUAUCACCGACAUUUCGAGUUAAAAACACGCAAAGUCGCGGGUAAAUGUGUCCAACGCGCCCGCCGCGAAGGGUGAUCGUUCCCCGGGUGAGUAGCUGCGCUGACACCGCCGUUCAAUGACAAGCCACCUCUAACCCUUUUGUGUCUUUUUUUAUUUUUUUUCCUCGCUCCCUGUCUAAGCGUACAUUUCCAGGCUGCAUAACACAGCAGAAGAGGUUGAAAGACCCUCUUUCUCUCUCGCCCACCUCUAAAGAUGUUGCUCCAUACACGCCGGGGAAUGCAGAUGUCGGUAGCCGAAGAGGUGGCACUCGGAGCCGGGCAGGGGCAGGACCCUCGACCCUGGGAGACCCUCCGGCGAGCUGGCGGCGAGACGCGGGAGAAGCGGCGCAGGCAGGCGGCGAGCCUCGCUCUGACUGGCGGAGAGGGGGAGCGAGUCUAGACCGCGGCAGAGGAAGAAAGGACUGCCACUGGGGUCAGAGAGCAGCGACGAGUGCAUAGCCUCCGUACUAGCAUGGCGGAGCGAGACUCUGCGCCUGUGGGUCCAAGGGUGUGCGCUACACGUAUCACCUUUCGGAAGUCAUGGAGAACUGGAGCACUGAUCAGGGUGAGGAGUCACAGUGCCACAAUGCUGCUUCUACAAAAUGUGGAAUGUUUUGACAGGGCUUACAAAGGUCUGUUGUUCUGUAACAGCACAUCUCAUAGAGACAGCUCAAUCAUGACUGAUGUUACUCUUUCGCUAAGCUGCAACUGCCAUUCGACCAGGACACCUCAUCCCCCACACACAAUACGACAGAACGAUAGAUAGAUAGAUAGAUAGAUAGAUAGAUAGAUAGAUAGAUAGAUGUAAAAUUCUUUGAAUCUAUCUAUCUAUGAAAAAAACAAGAAAGUUAGAGUGUUGACCCUCUCCUCAC
rnacentral:lncRNA from 1 species